rnacentral:rRNA from 1 species
UUCUCUUUGUGCGAGCUUCUGCAGGUCCCUUUCAGUAUUGAAGAUCCAGAUUACAAGGGGCUUGAGCUGGAUGUGAUGUCUCCAUGUGAGAAGCACGGCAUGGCAUCUGAGAGGCUUGUUGCCUUUGAAGGAAUAGACACAGGCAAGAGGUUUUUAGCAUGUGCACAGCCGGAAGGUAGCAAUUGUGGCUUUGUUGAAUGGGUUGAUCACCAGUGGCCCCCAACAAUGCAGAAUGCAUUGUUGAAGCUAUUGGCAAUGGUUGAAGAUGCCAAAAGUGCUAGGGUGAAUGACAAUCUUGAAAGUUCUUUCACUAUCCACCAUCUGACAGAAGAGAAGAACAAGCUGGAGGCCAACUAUGACAAGCUAGUCCAAGAUGUGCAUGAGUUGAUGAACUUCCAGGAAGAUAAGGUGGUGGAUUUCAGACAUCUGCAGUCUGCCAUUACAUAUCAGCAGGAGGUAAGAAAAGAAUUGAUUGAUGGUAUGAAGGCAAAGAUGGCAACUGAGAUGGCAAAGAAAGAUGCCGAGACCCAGCAACUUACUCAGAAGUAUGAGCUGCUGCUCCACCUGACAAGAGCUCAAGCAACAGUCAUUCAGAACUUGAAGUUGAAUAAAAUGAAAGAGAAGCAAGUGCUUACUGAAGCUAGUAUGAAUUUGGAGCUCUAA